rnacentral:rRNA from 1 species
GUGAGGAAUUUUCCGCAAUGGGCGAAAGCCUGACGGAGCAAUGCCGCGUGAAGGAUGAAGGCCUAUGGGUUGUAAACUUCUUUUCUCAGAAAAGAAUUAUGACGGUAUCUGAGGAAUAAGCAUCGGCUAACUCUGUGCCAGCAGCCGCGGUAAGACAGAGGAUGCAAGCGUUAUCCGGAAUGAUUGGGCGUAAAGCGUCUGUAGGUUGUUUAAAAAGUAUUCUGUCAAAGAUUAGGGCUUAACCCUAGAUAGGCAGAAUAAACUUUUAAGCUAGAGUUUGGUAGAGGCAGAGGGAAUUCCCGGUGGGGCGGUGAAAUGCGUAGAUAUCGGGAGGAACACCAAAGGCGAAGGCACUCUGCUGGGCCAAUACUAACACUGAGAGACGAAAGCGAGGGGAGCAAAUGGGAUUAGAUACCCUUGUAGUCC